GGAUGUGAGGGUGAUCUGGCUAUGACAUCUGUCACCCCAUUGAUCCCCAGGGGUGGUUUGGCUGAUGUGAGUGGUAGGCGGGUGUCCCCUUCCUCCCUCACCACUCCAGGUGUGUUCCUCCCAAAGCCACACACUCAGUUGAAGAGGAUAACCUUCCCCAAUAGAAGAGGACUGUUCUUUGGUCAAGGGUAGAUGAGUAGCUGUGCUCCCCUGCUAGAACAUUCAAACAAGAAUAUUAAAGAACAGUUAAAAGAAAAAAAUGAAACAAUCAAAUGUUAACAAGGCACACAGACCAUAGAGCAUUUCAUUAGGGAAAUACCUUCUU
rnacentral:snRNA from 1 species